CCCGAGCGAGAGAUAGAUAUAACACGCUCUCGGCUUCUCCUCCCCCUUCCUCUUCCCCACCUUCGCCUUCCCCUACGGACGCCAGCGAGCCCAAAAUUCCCGGCACCCGAGAGCCCUAAUCGCCCGCCGAUCCCGCCCGUGCCGCGGCCGCCGCGCCCGAUCCGCCGCCGCGCUGGCCUCCCCGCGCCCCAAACCCUAGGAAUUCCGCGCGGGGGGCGGGCGGGCGGGCGGGAUGGAGGCGCUGGUGGGGAGGGCCGUGAGGAAGGCGUUCCCGGGGUUCGGGACCUACGCCGGCGUUGUCGAGUCCUACGACGCCGACGCGGGCUACUUCCGCGUGCUCUACGAGGACGGCGACUCGGAGGAGGUCGACGCCGACGAGAUGGCCGAGAUACUCGUCGGCCCCGCGAUGCCGGAGGCGCUGCAGCGGACGCCGCCGCGGGACGCCGCGGGGAGGCGCCCGAAGAAGCGCCGGCGCGGGGACGAGGAGUCCCCGCCCCCGGCCGUCACGGGGGACGCCGUCGUGCUGGCGGUCCCCGCUGGCGGCGGGUCGUUGGAGGAUGGGGAAGUCGGGCCCGCGACGCCGGCGGAGGCGAGCGGGGUGGCGGAGAAGAAGAGGAGGGUCAGUCCAGGGCCCCCCGUGUCGUCGUCCAGGCCGCUGCGGCGGAGCGCGCGCCAGGCGAAGGCGGCCGAGCGGGCGGCCGAGAUGGAGGCCGCGGCGGCUGUGGCGGCCGCUGCGGAGGCCGCCGAGGCCGAGGCGGCCGCUGCUUCCACGCCACAGCAGUCUGGGAGGAAGCGUCCUCGUGGAAAUGGAAGUGGACGCUAUAGGUCUGUCUCCAGGGAUUUGGAGGAUGCCGCUACGCCACCGAAGACGGACCUGCCACCGAAGCCGGACCUGCCACCGCCAUCGCAGGGUUUGGAUUUGGGCGGCCUCCCCGUCCUCGAUGUCUUUCAAGUGUACUCUUGCUUAAGGUCAUUUAGCAGGCAACUGUUCCUGAGCCCGUUUCCACUGGACACAUUUGUGGCUGCGCUGCAUUGCACGUAUGUCAAUCCUUUGAUUGACUGGGUGCAUUUUGCUCUGUUGCGAGCUCUCAAGAGCCAGCUGGAAGAUUUCGCCAAUGAAGGAGACCCAUCGGCAGUACACUGCAUUAGGAAUCUUAACUGGGAGCUGUUAGACCUAGCAACUUGGCCAAUCUAUCUUGCUGAAUACUUGCUAACCAGGGGUACAGAAUUGAGGUAUGGUAUGAAGCUUACAGACUUAAAGCUGUUGAGUACAGAGUACUAUAGGCAGCCUGCAGUGGUGAAACUUGAGCUCCUGCGUUCACUCUCUGAUGAUGUGCUGGAGAUUGGGGCUAUACGUUCAAGGAUGUCAGAGUUGGAUGGAAACGAUGAGGGCUUCAGAAGCACUGGUUUAAGAAGAAAAAAGAGGGGCUCUUCUGCCAAGGGUGCAGCGGAUUCUUCCCAUUCUCCAGAAGGCUCUGAUGAAAUGGAUGACGGUAACAGCGAUGAGUGCUAUCUUUGUGGCAUGGAUGGUAAUUUGUUGUGCUGCGAUGGCUGUCCAGCUGCCUUUCAUUCAAAAUGUGUCGGGGUGGUGGAAGAUCUAUUGCCUGAAGGUGAUUGGUAUUGUCCUGAAUGUGUAAUGCAGAAGAAUGAUGGAUCAAGAAAUAUGGCAAGUCCUAUGAGAGGAGCAGAGGUUCUUGGAAUCGAUCCACAUGGCCGACUAUACUUCGGCACUUGCGGCUAUCUUUUGGUGAUUGACUCAUGUGAGGGUGACCCUCCAUGUCAUUAUUAUGGUCAGGUCGAUCUUCAUUCCGUUGUUACAUUGUUGAACACAUGUCAUCUUUCAUACAGAUCAAUUGUUAAUGCAAUAUCUUCAUUUUACGGUACUGCAAUUGAGUCACCCAACCUUAACGGUCGGUACCAGAGUAGCAGGGAAUGCAGUACAUCUGAUGCUGAGACAAACUGCAGACAUUCAUCACGAUUGAAGCAACAUAGUGAACAUGACCAAUUUAUGGUAGAGCAGGACAAGUCUUUUGAACAAUUGGACUCUGGAAAAGCUUGUACCUCAAAUUCUGAUCAAUUGGAUCAAGAUUUGUCACUCAAGAGCAUCACAUUUAGAUCUGCACUUAUGUCUCGAAGUGGAAAUGCUGCUGAAGGUGAUUCAAAUCAAAUACCUCAAAAUAGAUCCUCAAGUGCUAAGAUUAAUAACUGCAGUUCCCAGGAAGACAUUGUUUAUUCAGAUGCUAAUGAUUUAUCUUUAGAGAAUCAGAAAGAUUCGUCACCUAAGAAAAAACAAAGUGAUUGGCAUCUCCUUUCAGAUCUUGUUAGGUACAUAAACUAUUACAGCUUUGGUCAAAUAGCAGCUUCAGCUGCUGAAGAGCUAAAACACAAGCUGUCUGAAAACAAGGAAGGGAAGAAACCUGUUCAGGAUGCACUCUCCUUCCAUCUGAGAACAAUAUGUAAAAAAUACGCUAACAUUUUUGCGCUAACUGAUCAAAAGCUUUCUGUCGAACUGCUUAAAGAAAAAUGUGGAUGGUGCAACUCAUGCCAAAUCAGUGGCGGCGUUGACUGCAUUUUUAGAGUAACUGAUGUUAAAUGUAUGGAAGGUCAUAAGCCACAUACUUUUGGUCUUGGAGAAGUAAAAAAUAUGGAAAGUCAUAUCGUCCUUGCUAUGCGCAGCAUUUUGUCAAUUGAAGAAAGGUUGAAUGGUUUGCUGACUGGCCCUUGGCAAAAUCCACAAUAUAGCAUUUAUUGGCGUAAGGCAGUUCUCAAGGCUACAGAUGUAUCAUCACUUAAGCAGCCUCUUCUAAUGUUAGAGUCCAGUCUGCGACGUGUUGCCAUUUCUGUGGAAUGGGAGAAACCAGCAGACUCUGUUGAAGUGGUUGGUUCUGCAGCUCAUAUACUUGUCCGUUCAUCUAAUAAAUCUCUAAGUCAUGGAAGUGCUAGAAAGCCUGGGAGAAAGCCAUCUUCUAAUGGUGAACUUAAAGUUGACUCUCGUGAUGUUGGUGUUUAUUGGUGGAGGGGUGGAAAAUUAUCUCGUCAAGUGUUUCAUUGGAAGAGGUUGCCUCAGUCACUGGUCCACAAAGCUGCUCGGCAAGCGGGACGUAGGAAAAUUCCAACGAUUUUAUACACCGAUGGUUCACAAUUUGUCCGGAGGUUCAAAUACAUAGCUUGGCGAGCUGCUGUGGAAAUGGCAGAAAAUGUGGCCCAGCUCAUUUUGCAGAUUAAAGAGCUUGAAUGGAAUAUCAAGUGGACUGAGAUACUGGGCACUCUCCCUUCUAGCCUCAUGACCAAGGAAACACAGAAAAUAGCAAGGCUUUUUAAGAAAGUUAUAAUUCGCAGAAAACGCAUAGAAGGAACAAAUAUUGAAUAUCUACUUGAUUUUGGAAAGAGAGAGAACAUUCCUCCUGUUAUUUCUAAACAUGGAACUAAAUUUGAGGAGCCCUCUAGCGAGAGGAACAGGUACUGGUUAAAUGAAGGCCAUGUCCCUCUGAAUCUGUUGAAGGCAUAUGAAGCCAAAGCGUUCGCUCGCUUACUGAAAAAGAAAGAAACUGAUGAACUUCCUAAGACUAAGAAGAUGCGUGACUCCAAACCCAAAAUGCCAAAAAAGACUGGGUUUGCUUACCUCUUUGAAAGAGCAGAAAAGAGUUCCCCCGGGCUUUGUGGUCAUUGUAACAAAGAAGUGGCUGCAAGUGAAGCUGUGAACUGCCAGUAUUGUGCAGCUCUCUUCCAUAGAAAACAUUUCAAGGUUCCUAGGGGUGCUGCAGAUACUGUUUAUGUUUGCAACAAGUGCUUAGCUGAAAAGGUCUUAAAGGUGAAGUCUCCUCAGAAAAAGGCUGCACCAAAGAAGCCAUCUCCUAAAAAGAAGCAAAAGAAACAAAAGAAGCAAUCACGCAAGAUUGUGACUAGGAGAAAUCAGAUAGUUCUCAAAUACAAGAAAAUUGGCAAAAAGGGUAAGCGUGGUCGGCCAAGGAAGAACCCACUUGCUCCGUCAAAGAAUGAAUUGCCAAAGACAUGUGAGAGUGAACCAUCAAAUGUGCCCAAAAAUGAACCAGUAAAACGUAUAUCAAAACGAUUGUAUGACAAGUACAUGAAAGGCAACACAAAUGUAUCCGAGCAUGGUACCAGCUGCCGCAAGAGGAAGCGGACUGCUUUGCAGUAUUCAUACUGGUCGAAUGGCCUUCGAUGGACACAAAAUCCACAUGAUGAAAGGGCAAGAAGUUUUAGGAAAGAAAGAGUAGUUUUUCCAUUGGAAGAUGCUGAAAUGUCUGAAGUCAGCCCAGUAUGCUGUUUGUGUGAGAAAUGCUACAGUGAAGAGGAUAUUUAUAUUGCUUGUGAACAAUGUGAAGAUUGGUUUCAUGGGGAUAUAUACUCUGUCACCAUUGAGAAUGUGAACAAUCUCAUUGGUUUCAAGUGCCAUAGAUGCCGCCUGAGAAGUCUACCUGUCUGUCCAUAUGCACAGACUCUAACAAUUCUGAAAGGUCAGUCAGAUAAGGAUCAUGGUAUCAAGUUUGUGGAGGACAAAGAACAUAGCAUAGACAACUUUGUAGAGGAAGAGGUCCCCAAUUGUCCAAAUGGUCUUUGUGCUCUUGGUAGUCAGAAAGAUCUUCAUGAUAAUAGCAAUCUGAAAGAGGUUGACAUUGAGAAAAGGCCCAACGGUCAUAUUACCGAGAAAGAGCUCAGUUAUAAUAAUUGUCAAGAAGAGCUGAAUGAUCAUAGCAAUCUGAAAGAGAUUUACACACAUACCACUGAGAAAGAAUUGGAUGCUAAUAAAAGUUUGAAAGAGCUAGAUGGCCAUAAUGAAUUGAAAAUGCUUGGCAGUCCUGCCUCUGAGAGAGAGCUCAACAAUCACAUCAACCUGAAAGAUCUUGACAGCUGCAGGACUGACAAAGAGGUUAAGAAUCAUAAUUGUCUGAAAAAACUAGAUGAACAUUACAAUUGGAAAGGGCUUGAUGACCAUAAAAGUCAAGAGGAGCUUGAUGGUACUGCAAGUAGUAACUUUGCUACUGUGGAAACACAAUGCCCUUUGGAACUUGAUGGGUUUAAUAACCUGAAGCUUGACAGUCAUAACAAUUUGGAAGAGCUUAAUAAUCAUAACUGUCCAGAAGAGGGUGAUAAUAAAAACAUUUCAAAAGGGCUGGACAAUAAUAGAAGCCAAAAAGAUUCAGGUGACUUUCUAGCUGAACACUUCAACAACAUAAGGAUAUCUGGCAAAGAGGCAUUGGCCGUUACACCUGGAACUGGUUCAGUCAAGGAAUCUCUUGCUUUGCAAUCCAAGGAUGAUUCUGAGAAGACUGUUCCUGCUGAGCAUGAGAUUGGCCUUCAGGUGGUGGUGACUUUAUAGUGUACUGUGGACAGUCGAAGUAACCUUUCACCCUCAGCUUGAGUACCCUUAGCUCUACAGUUUAUUGUUUGCUGCUCCUCUGGUUGAAAAUUCUGUUGGCUGUCAACUCAAAUUGCCUCAUAGCAGUAAUCUACAAGGAAAAUGAUAUUUUAGGAUUCCCUUUGGGAAUAUUCUGACUGGACUAGCCAAGCAUUAGAAUAAUUGACCUCUUGAGGUUAAGCUAUAGCAUUCUCGAUAGGGCUGACAUAGGGAAUAGUUAGGUACCAUUUCCUUCCUAUGCUUCACAUUACCAGUGAGAAUUUGGAGUCAUGUUGCUCAAGGUCAUGCAAUAAUUUGGAUAUCUCCAAGCACAAGUGGCUGGUAUUAUGUUGGCCUGUUAUAUAUUGAUGUUCAAGGAAGGAGAUAGCAGUCACUGCCAUCGCCAAGCAUGAGGAGGCAUUCCCUCUCCCCAUGAUUUCUUUUCUGCACCCUUAGAUACUGCACCAGAUCAACACCCCAACCUGAUGAUUCAUUGUUUCAAAUUGCUUCUAACAGUCCGUCGCAAUUGUUAUUUGUACAUGCUGCAAGGGGAUUCAUCUCCACAGGGUUAAUUAGAUUUUGUAUAGGUUUGCAGUAGCCUUUUCAAUUACAGGGUUAAUUCUGGCCUGACAUCGGUUUGUACAAUGCUGUUUUGCUCAUCUGAUUGCAUUCUGCUUCAAUGACGUAGAAGCUAACAAUACUGGUAGAUGUAUAUCCAACUGUUAGAUUAUGAUCGAUUCUUUUCUAUA